rnacentral:rRNA from 1 species
CCCUUAGAUGUUCUGGGCCGCACGCGCGCUACACUGAUACGUUCAGCGAGUAUAUAACCUUGAUUGGAAAAUCUGGGUAAUCUUUUGAAUGCGUAUCGUGCUAGGGAUAGAUUAUUGCAAUUAUUAAUCUUGAACGAGGAAUUCCUAGUAAACGCAAGUCAUCAGCUUGCAUUGAUUACGUCCCUGCCCUUUGUACACACCGCCUGUCGCACAAACCGAUUGAAUGAUUCGGUGAAAAUUUUGGACAUCGAGAGUGGUGAUUAAUUUCGCUGCUCUUAAAUGGAAGGAAUUUAAACCUAAUUAUUUAGAGGAUUGUGAAGUCAUAACA